rnacentral:rRNA from 1 species
AGCGAACGCUGGCGGCAGGCCUAACACAUGCAAGUCGAACGAACCUUUCGGGGUUAGUGGCGGACGGGUGAGUAACACGUGGGAACGUGCCUUUAGGUUCGGAAUAACUCAGGGAAACUUGUGCUAAUACCGAAUGUGCCCUUCGGGGGAAAGAUUAAUCGCCUUUAGAGCGGCCCGCGUCUGAUUAGCUAGUUGGUUGAGGUAAUGGCUCACCAAGGCGACGAUCAGUAGCUGGUCUGAGAGGAUGAUCAGCCACAUUGGGACUGAGACACGGCCCAAACUCCUACGGGAGGCAGCAGUGGGGAAUCUUGCGCAAUGGGCGAAAGCCUGACGCAGCCAUGCCGCGUGAAUGAUGAAGGUCUUAGGAUUGUAAAAUUCUUUCACCGGGGACGAUAAUGACGGUACCUGGAGAAGAAGCCCCGGCUAACUUCGU